UUCUGAUGGCCAGUGUGGAGGAUUUUCUCAGAGCUCCUUCGGAGGAGUUGUUGAACAGCUGUUCUAGAGACCAGCUGUUGAAAAUCGCAGAGCAUUAUCAUGCGCAGGUCGGGGAUAAGAGGUCAAAAGAGGGCAUUAGGUUUAGCAUAAAAACGCAUUUGGUAGAAGCAGGGAUUAUCACAGAAACUUAUGCUGCUGCUGAUUUACCUGUUGCUAUGGAAGCUAGGUUUUCUUUUGACCAGAACAAGGAGUUGCUUUUGUUGCAGAUGGAGAGAGAGAGAGUGGCUCUUGAGAGAGUAAAACAAGAGGUUGAGGGUAAAAGACUUGAGCUGGAGGUGCGUAGGUUGCCUGCUGUAGCUAUGGGUGUAGGCCAGCGUGGUCAUCCUGCCCCUGGUCAUGGGUUUGAUGUUGCCAAGGAUCUGCGUUUGGUUCCUCAGUUUAAUGAACAGGACCUCGAGACUUUUUUCUUGCUUUUUGAGCGGGUAAGCGAAAGUAGAAACUGGUCAGACGCUGACAGCACAUUACUUUUACAGUGUGUUUUAAUAGGUAAAGCACAGGAAGCCUACUCUGCUCUCACUGUCGCGGACAGUAGAGUUUAUCUUAAUGUCAAGGCUGCAGUGUUAAGGGCGUAUGAGUUAGUGCCUGAGGCGUAUCGCCAGAAGUUCCGUACAUGGGAGAAAUCGGUUAAACAGACGCAUGUGGAGUUUGCCAGGGAGCUGGCUUCUCAUUUCACUCGGUGGGGUGCUGCCCUGAAAGUUGACACGUAUGAAGCUUUGUGUGACUUGAUUGUGCUGGAACAGUUCAAGAUCUCCAUCCCUAGCCACAUUGCUGUUCAUAUCACUGAGCGUAGAGUGAUGACUGCUGCAGAGGCUGCUGUACUGGCAGACGAGUAUGUGCUUACCCACAGGGAAAACCGGGAGCUCUGUUCUCGUGAUGUUGGGCACAGAGGGGGAAGCAGGGUGUUUCGUGCAGGUACAGGAAGGGAAGCAUUUAGUCCUCGCUCAGGUAGGUCAGAAUUUGCUACACGUGGUCAGAUGGAGUUUGACUCAAACACAUGCCAUUACUGUGGGGGCAAGGGCCAUUGGAAAGGGGAGUGUCCAAAAACUAAACGUGGAAGCGGUAGGGGACAGGUUACACCAGCACUGUUUGCUGGUUCUGUUGACUCAACCAAUUCUGUUUCUCCCUGUCAACAUGUGCAAUCUGGAGUGAAAGGCAGCUUGGGGUCUGAUUUCUCUGCGUUCUUGUCGGACGGCUUCGUGUCACUUGUGGGGAGUGACAUCACUGUACCGGUAAAGAUUCUGAGGGACACUGGGGCUUUUAAUUCAUACAUAGUGAGCUCUGUCUUACCCUUUUCUGGAGAUUCUGAUACAGGGGACCUGGUUUAGAUGCGAGGUAUGGGUUUGAGUGUGUUCCCUGUCCCACUGCAUAAGAUGGUGUUCAACUGUGGGUUGGUCAAAGGUGAGGUGGUCAUGGGCGUGCGGCCGGCAUUGCCCAUUGAGGGCGUGGAGGUCAUAGUGGGAAAUGACCUGGCAGGUAGCAGUGUGUGGGCGGGAACUCAGCCAAAUCCCAUUCCUCCAAUAGUGACAUCCUCACCCUGUGUUACAGGAGAACCCGAUGAGAGUGCUCAGCGCUUUCCUGGGGUGUUUACUGCCUGUGCAGUGACACGGGCUAUGGGCCGUGCAGAGUCGGGGCCUGAACCUGCAUCUGAGCAGGAGGGGGCAGAAGAGAGGGUGCCUAUUCCUAACUCUCUUUUGUCCGUUUCUCGCAGUGGCUUAGUGGCGGAGCAGAGAGCUGAUUCCUCGCUGAGCCAACUGUUUGACUUGGUUCUCACCACGGAGGAAGGAAGGAGUGCUGCUAGUGGGUACUUGCUUCAGGACAAGUUGCUGCUCCAUGCAUGGAUCAACCUUUCCAACUUCAUGUGGAUGCAGGUGAUGUAAGCACAGGUGCUGUUUUGUUUCAAAGUGACACCCAGGGUGUUGAACGUCCCGUGAGUUUUUACUCAAAGAAAUUUAAUUCUUUUCAGUUAAAUUAUUCUGUUAUGGAAAAAGAGACAUUGUCACUCAUCUGGCCAUUGCAACAUUUUGAGUGGUCUACACAGACCACAACCCGAUCACCUUUUUGCACUCGGUGCUUUGUCCAAACCGCAGGUUGAUGCGUUGGAUUUUGUUUUUGCAAGCCUACUGUUUGGACAUCCGUUACAUCAAAGGCUCUGAAAAUAUUGUGGCAGAUGCCUUGUCGAGAGCAACUUGCUCUUAAGUUCUGUAUUAAUUUUGUCUUUGUUUUACCUGCUCUGUCUCUCUGCUUUUCUCUCUGGGGACCGGAGUUACUAGGUGGCGGGGUUGACGAAGGCUGGCAGUUCCAGGUGGGAACGUUUUUUUAUGGGUGGGGGUGUGACGACCCUCCACUCCACUAGGGGUCUUCUCUCUUUCAGGUGUCCUGGUGGAGUGAUGGGUCAUCAGGCUGAUGAGCCACAGCUGUGCCCGGGCUGGUUAUAUCAGGACAACUCCAGUUCGGGGGAAAUUCCCCUUCCCGGUUGCAGACGGCUGUACUCUACUUGGUUGUUGACUUUGGCUUGUUAAAACUUAGUGUUACAAUAAAUACUUGUUAUUUUGUUCA